GUUCUGUAAGCCUGCGAAGGUGUGCUGUGAGGCAUGCUGGAGGUAUCAGAAGUGCGAAUGCUGACAUAAGUAACGAUAAAGCGGGUGAAAAGCCCGCUCGCCGGAAGACCAAGGGAUCCUGUCCAACGUUAAUCGGGGCAGGGUGAGUCGACCCCUAAGGCGAGGCCGAAAGGCGUAGUCGAUGGGAAACAGGUUAAUAUUCCUGUACUUGGUGUUACUGCGAAGGGGGGACGGAGAAGGCUAUGUUAGCCGGGCGACGGUUGUCCCGGUUUAAGCAUGUAGGCUGAUUGUCCAGGCAAAUCCGGAUA
rnacentral:rRNA from 1 species